rnacentral:rRNA from 1 species
GAGUUUGAUCCUGGCUCAGGAUGAACGCUGGCGGCGUGCCUAACACAUGCAAGUCGAACGGACUUAACAUGAAACCUAGUGAUUGUUAAGCUAGUGGCGGACGGGUGAGUAACGCGUGGAUAACCUGCCGUAUGCAGGGGGAUAACAGUUGGAAACAGCUGCUAAUACCGCAUAAGCGCACAGUGCCGCAUGGCACAGUGCGAAAAGAUUUAUCGGCAUACGAUGGAUCCGCGUCCGAUUAGCCAGUUGGCGGGGUAACGGCCCACCAAAGCGACGAUCGGUAGCCGGCCUGAGAGGGCGGACGGCCACAUUGGGACUGAGACACGGCCCAAACUCCUACGGGAGGCAGCAGUGGGGAAUAUUGCACAAUGGGGGAAACCCUGAUGCAGCGACGCCGCGUGAGUGAAGAAGUAUCUCGGUACGUAAAGCUCUAUCAGCAGGAAAGAAAAUGACGGUACCUGACUAAGAAGCCCCGGCUAACUACGUGCCAGCAGCCGCGGUAAUACGUAGGGGGCAAGCGUUAUCCGGAUUUACUGGGUGUAAAGGGAGCGUAGACGGCGCUGCAAGUCCGGAGUGAAAGCCCAUGGCUUAACCAUGGUACUGCUCUGGAAACUGUAGAGCUUGAGUGCGGGAGGGGCAGGCGGAAUUCCUAGUGUAGCGGUGAAAUGCGUAGAUAUUAGGAGGAACACCGGCGGCGAAGGCGGCCUGCUGGACCGUAACUGACGUUGAGGCUCGAAAGCGUGGGGAGCAAACAGGAUUAGAUACCCUGGUAGUCCACGCCGUA